ACGGGAGGCAGCAGUGGGGAAUAUUGGGCAAUGGGCGAAAGCCUGACCCAGCAACGCCGCGUGAAGGAAGAAGGUCUUCGGAUUGUAAACUUCUUUUAUGAGGGACGAAGGACGUGACGGUACCUCAUGAAUAAGCCACGGCUAACUACGUGCCAGCAGUCGCGGUAAUACGUAGGUGGCGAGCGUUAUCCGGAAUUAUUGGGUGUAAAGGGUGCGUAGGCGGGAUGUAAAGUCAGAUGUGAAAUACCGCAGCUUAACUGCGGGGCUGCAUUUGAAACUUAUGUUCUUGAGUGCGGUAGAGGUAAGUGGAAUUCCCAGUGUAGCGGUGAAAUGCGUAGAUAUUGGGAGGAACACCAGUGGCGAAGGCGACUUACUGGGCCGUUACUGACGCUGAGGCACGAAAGUGUGGGGAGCAAACAGGAUUAGAUACCCUGGUA
rnacentral:rRNA from 1 species